CCGGCUACUUGAGCGCUCAACCUGAGGGUUGGGAUGUCCGGCCGUCGUGAGGUUGCCUUCCCGCCACUCCGCGUCAACUCACGUUAUCGUCGCGCCGCCGUCCCGCAGAGCAUGUCGCAUUGUCGGUCUUGCUCAUCCUCUCCUCCCCGUUGUCCAGAUCCAUGCUCUCUUCAUCUGUUUUUUAUCUCAGCAGGUUCAGAGAACCACACCGCCCAGAUCCUUCCCCUCUUGUUGUCUCCGCAAGUUCGCGAGAUUGUACCGGACGUCUGACCGUCGUGAGGUUGCCAUCACGCCACUCCGUGUCAACUCGCGUUGCCGUCACGCCGCCGUCUCGCAGAGCAUGUCGCGUUAUCGGUCCUGCUCAUCCUCUCUCCUCCCAUAUUUUCUAGAUCCAUACCCUCUUCAUCUUUUUUUUAUCUCAGCAGGUUCAGAGAAUCAUACCGUCCGUACUCUUUCCUUCUUGUUAUCUCCGCAGGUUCGCGAGAUUGUGCCGGUGAGGAGGCUCCUUCACCCCUUCCAGCAAGCAACUCUUUCGGAGCGAUCAGAUGGCUCCUUGGUGGCCGUCGCAUUCCGCUGCGUGCACCCGCGGUCGCCUGCGCGUAGAUGGGGAGAUCGCUCACCACUGCGCCGCCGUCCCGACCACCAUCGACGACCGCGCAGCCGACAUCGUGGGCGUGGGCGACGACGCGCGCACCACUGCUGCCGCCGUCCACGGCCUGGACGCCACCGCGCACAGGCGGAGGCUCGAUCCGUGCCGCCGAGUACCCAAGUCACCGACCGACGCCCGCCGCGGACCGUGGCUGGAAGGAAUCGCAGGGACCUGCGGCGCUGCUAAUUUUGUCCAGCUUUGUCGUGAGCUGUGUGGUAGGAAUCGAUGGAGGCCUGGAGCGUGGAGCGCCAUUGGUCAAGACUCCCUCUACUCUGUUUCGUUGGUAAGGCCCGUACUUGAUUGACUGAUUUAAUUGAUGUCUUCAUUUGUUCUAUUGUUUAAUUGGUUGGCUAAUUUAUGAAUUAGGAAGUACUAUGAGACUUCAAAAUAAACGUGGAUGCAAAGGUAAGGGCAAGGGCAAGGCCAACGCCAAGAUGAGAUAUACAUAUUGCAAUUUGUUAGCCAUUUAUCCUAUGCUUGCUUGGUGGAUCAUUCCAUCUUAGUUACAGGUGUAGAUGUUAGAUUUUAGGAUGCAAUCCUGAUAUAUGUGCUAGAUAGGUCUAGCUAACUCUGAAAACUGCUACAGGAUUCUGACAGAAGAGAUCAAGUGAAGAAAGGUAUUUGUUAGGAUGUUCCAACCUUCUGAAAAAUCUGACAAGAGCAACGAAGUAAUUUAUGUGUGUUGGCCUGAUGUGCAGAGUGCAGACUCUUCCAUUUGGCACUGCUUCAUAUUUGACCACUUUGAAAGUUAGAUAUCUAAUAUCUUCACAAUGGUCAUGGAACCAUGGUGCUUAUUUUAGUUCUUAGCUUCUUGUGUAAUUAUCUGGAUCAAUUCUAGAAAUGCAAUUCUUGUCGUUGCAACGGAAAUACGAGCUGCUUAGUGCAUGAUAGAUGUUUGCUCAAUGACCCUUUGACAGUUACUUGUUUGGUCUCUAGAGGUGCUACGAGAAACAAAAGACAAAAAAAGGUGAAAUUUGAUUUUGAGCAUUUUAAUCUGUGUUGAAAUUUGAUAGCAUGCUGACACGGUUUGUAUGAUGUAAGUACAAUAUCUUUAUUAAUGCACCAAAUUUACACCCUGCUAGAGUAGUUCCCAUGUAUUAUAUGCAUUGUCUCUUUUAGUUGGUACUGUCAAAGACAUUGGCAAUUUUACUAUUGUCUUUGACAGUGAAGUUCAGGUCAGACACGAUCUACAGACGCCUAUCGGCCAGUCUAAGGCACAGUCGUGCCUGAAUCCAAUUGAUCUUCACCAUCAUAUGGCACCUGAUCAAGGUAUGCAUACUAUCAAGCCUGUCAUUUGACUUUUUUUGUUAAUCCAAAUGAUGGUACAAGCUGCAAUAUUUCUUCUACUAUUCUGAACUGAUUCAGUCAGUUGGUUCUGGCAAUAUUCAAAUAUGAAAGGCAAUGUGAUAUGGAAUACUCAUGAUUGGUAGGCGGCCCAAGCACCUUGGGGUUCAUUUAUAACAGUUAUGUACUAUGUUAACAUGUGUUAAUUUGUUAACGAUUAGUGUCUCAAACUCAUAGCAUUCUUAUACUGCACAACUCACAUGCAUCAGCUGCUCGCAUUUGCCUCAUAGAAAAAGAACAGAAGCUGGAGCUUGACCCCUCACAUAUUUUGACUCUUGAAUGCAGCUCCAGAAACACGAUGGUCUCAGUUUACAUCUUAAGGCCUGUUUUUUUAAUAAACAGGCUAUGUAUGCCUUCUGAAAGGUUAUCAAAUUCAUAUAUAAUUCAGGUGAAUUGAAAAAAAAACUGCUGAUAGAACACGAUUGAGAUGACCUCCCCUUCUUGGAUCUGGGAAUACUCUUAGAUGUAAUGCACACAUGUCUUAUAUCUGAAGCUGAUAGCACAACUUGAAGAUAAUUGAUGGUUGUGAGCAGGAAAAUGCAUUCGUUUUAUUCAAAACUGAAUGCCUCAACUCAAGUUAGUUUGUGGAAUACUCAUAUCUUUUAUGCCUGAAACUAAUAGCAUUUGAUCUCUCUUAUAUCUGAAACUGAUAGCAGCUGGAGAUUGUUUUUAUAUCCAAUGGUGGUUGUGUACAACAACACUAGCAAGUGGCAGCAUUAGUAUUAUUCUGAAAAGCUCGAAGUUUGUUUUAACUCCAUCUUGCAGCAUUUAGCAGUUGAUUAUAGAAGUAUAAAUGAAAUGUCUGGAUAAUAUAAAUUAAUUAAUUCGGUAUUGUUGCAUUAGCUCUAUGCUCACUUUGAAACUAUUUUUCACACUGGUCAUUCAAAGAUAAACCAGUGAAUGACUUAGUUUUUUUUUGUCGUUUCAAAAAAAAAAAAGGGCUGUGACCACCGCUAGGUAAGUUCAAUAACUUAUUUGUUCAAAGUCUUCCUUUAUGUACUGUACAUUUAAAUGAACACCACCAUAUACUGCAGGUCAUUGAGUUUGUCAUGCACGGCUGAGCUACCAAGAUUUAUUGCUUACAUAAUUGGCCAUCUGAAGGAGAAGAUGCCUGCAAUGAUGGGAAAAGCUAAGGUACAACAGUGAUUCAUAGGCAACCUAGAAAAUGAGUUUGCGAAGGUACUUACGAUGAGUUAACUGCUUGAGUGUUUAUGUCUGGUCUAAUUUCAGCACAAGAUGGUUUUUCUGAUAAUCAUUUGAAUAUUUCAAUGUUGCUUUUGGGUAAGCACAUUAACUCCUUGCUUUUGUUUUUUCAAUAUUGCUUUUGGGUGCCACGAUACAAAGAUUCAUUUGUAUCUGUUGGUCGUUGAUUUAAAUCCAUUGCCUAGGUCCAUGUAAACUGUGAGCAAAGCUUGUGUUUGAUGUUGUAAAAGUACUACUGUAACUACUAUGUGAUUUAUUUAUGCUACAAAAAGUUAAUAAGAUUAUUUCGUAUGAUAUCCUAA